rnacentral:rRNA from 1 species
AACGCGAAGAACCUUACCUACCCUUGACAUGUACGGAAGCCUAGCGAGAGCUAGGUGUGCCCGAAAGGGAGCCGUAACACAGGUGCUGCAUGGCUGUCGUCAGCUCGUGUCGUGAGAUGUUGGGUUAAGUCCCGCAACGAGCGCAACCCUUGUCCCUAGUUGCUACGCAAGGGCACUCUAGGGAGACUGCCGGUGACAAACCGGAGGAAGGUGGGGAUGACGUCAAGUCCUCAUGGCCCUUAUGGGUAGGGCUUCACACGUCAUACAAUGGCCGGUACAGAGGGUUGCCAAGCCGCGAGGCGGAGCCAAUCCCAGAAAGCCGGUCGUAGUCCGGAUUGCAGUCUGCAACUCGGCUACAUGAAGUUGGAAUUGCUAGUAAUGGCGUGUCAGCAACAACGCCGUGAAUACGUUCCCGGGCCUUGUACACACCGGAGUGC